CAUGCCUAACACAUGCAAGUCGAACGGAAACGAUGCUAGCUUGCUAGCAGGCGUCGAGUGGCGGACGGGUGAGUAAUGUAUAGGGAUCUGCCUAGUAGUGGGGGACAACAUGUGGAAACGCAUGCUAAUACCGCAUACGCUCUACGGAGGAAAGUGGGGGACCUUUCGGGGCCUCACGCUACUAGAUGAACCUAUAUUGGAUUAGCUAGUUGGUAAGGUAAUGGCUUACCAAGGCGACGAUCCAUAGCUGGUUUGAGAGAAUGAUCAGCCACACUGGGACUGAGACACGGCCCAGACUCCUACGGGAGGCAGCAGUGGGGAAUAUUGCACAAUGGAGGAAACUCUGAUGCAGCAAUGCCGCGUGUGUGAAGAAGGCCUUAGGGUUGUAAAGCACUUUCAAUAGGGAGGAAAAGUAAGUAGUUAAUAACUGCUUACCGUGACGUUACCUAUAGAAGAAGGACCGGCUAACUCCGUGCCAGCAGCCGCGGUAAUACGGAGGGUCCGAGCGUUAAUCGGAAUUACUGGGCGUAAAGCGGGCGUAGGCGGAUAUUUAAGUCAGAUGUGAAAUCCCUGGGCUCAACCUAGGAACUGCAUUUGAUACUGGAUAUCUAGAGUAUGGUAGAGGUGAGUGGAAUUUCAGGUGUAGCGGUGAAAUGCGUAGAGAUCUGAAGGAACAUCAGUGGCGAAGGCGACUCACUGGGCCAUUACUGACGCUGAGGUGCGAAAGCGUGGGUAGCAAACAGGAUUAGAUACCCUGGUAGUCCACGCCCUAAACGAUGUCAACUAGGUGUAUGGGAGUUUAUCUCUUGUGUAUCGAAGCUAACGCGAUAAGUUGACCGCCUGGGGAGUACGGUCGCAAGACUAAAACUCAAAUGAAUUGACGGGGGCCCGCACAAGCGGUGGAGCAUGUGGUUUAAUUCGAUGCAACGCGAAGAACCUUACCUGGUCUUGACAUGUAGUGAAGGUUGAAGAGAUUCGACUGUGCCUUCGGGAACGCUAACACAGGUGCUGCAUGGCUGUCGUCAGCUCGUGUCGUGAGAUGU
rnacentral:rRNA from 1 species